rnacentral:rRNA from 1 species
UACGUAGGUGACAAGUGUUAUCCGGAAUCACUGGGCGUAAAGCGUCUGUAGGUGGUUUAGAAAGUCUGCUGUUAAAGCCUGAAGCUUAACUUCAAAAAUGCAGUGGAAACUUCUAGACUCGAGUGUGGUAGGGGUAGAGGGAAUUUCCAGUGGAGCGGUGAAAUGCGUAGAUAUUGGAAAGACCACCAAUGGCGAAGGCACUCUACUGGGCCAUAACUGACACUGAGAGACGAAAGCCAGGGGAGCGAAUGGG